rnacentral:rRNA from 1 species
GGCUUAAUACAUGCAAGUCGAGGGGGCAGCAAUGUCACCGGCGAACGGGUGCGUAACACGUAUGCAACCUACCUAUAUCAGGGGGAUAGCCCGAGGAAACUCGGAUUAAUACCGCAUAACAUUAGGAUCGGCAUCGAUUUUAAUUGAAAUAUUUAUAGGAUGUAGAUGGGCAUGCGUAGGAUUAGCUAGUUGGUAAGGUAACGGCUUACCAAGGCUACGAUCCUUAGGGGCUCUGAGAGGAGUAUCCCCCACACUGGCACUGAGAUACGGGCCAGACUCCUACGGGAGGCAGCAGUAGGGAAUAUUGGGCAAUGGAGGCAACUCUGACCCAGCCAUGCCGCGUGCAGGAAGACGGUCCUCUGGAUUGUCUCCUGC